AUUCCUGGGCUGCAAGAGUUGUUCAACAUCUGCAAAUCAAUCAAUGUGAGAGAUCACAUCAAUAAAACGAAGGACAAGAACUAUAUGAUCCUCUCAAUAGACGCAGAAAAAGCACAUGACCAAGUACAGCACCCUUUCUUGAUGAAAACUCCACAGGGUAGGGAUAGAGGGAAAGUGAAAAGACAACACUGAAGGUUCAAACAGGAGUGGACUCAGGUAGGGGAUCCCAGGCAGUGAGGUCACUUCUUUGACCACAGAGCCCAACAGAACUUGGAACCCCUGCAACCAGGCACCCACAUUCUACUGCAGCCUCACAUCAGGCUCACUUGGCUGGAGACAUCUGCUACUGAAAGAUGUUCUAUUGCUGCCUGCUGACUUCCCAGGGCUCUGGCUUCCAGAAAACCCAGGGUCUUGGCUCUUUCACGCUGUAGACUUUGGUUUCUCCAUCACACACCAUGCCUCAGGGCGUUUGCCAGGAGGCGCCCUACGGUAAUACAGAGCAGCUCAGGCCAGGCCUUAGAAAAAAAUAUACAUCCCCGUCUAGACAGCAGAAAUUGCUUGCUGUGCAGCUGGAUUCACUUUGAAAGGAUUAUGAUGUCACACCUUGCCAUGGUGACGAGAAAUAUACCUCUGUCUCUCUUCCCAAUUGUCACUGUUUGAGCUGAGUAGCUCAAAGUUGAUAUUGAGGGAGUUGUCAGCUCUCUACCUAGCAUCUUUGAAAAUGGGCCAAUUCUAUUAUUGCUGCUGUGAAGAGCUGAAACAAACACUCCUACUUUGUAUGGAACCAGAAAAGACCCUGAAUAGCCAAAGUAAUGUUGAAAAAGAAAACCAAAACUGGAGGCAUCACAAUUCUGGACUUCAAACUGUAUCACAAAGCUGCAGUCAUCAAGACAAUAUGGUACUGACACAAAAAUAGACAUACAGAUCAAUGGAACAGAAUAGAAAACCCAGAAAUGGACCCUCAAUUGAUCUUCGACAAAGCUGGAAAGAAUAUCCAAUGGAAAAA